rnacentral:misc_RNA from 1 species
AGGACGCCGAAGGUGGGGCUAAUGACUGGGGUGAAGUCGUAACAAGGUAGCCGUACCGGAAGGUGCGGCUGGAUCACCUCCUAACAGGGAGACAACAAAAUGUAAAUAUUAAUUUUGUCACCUUAGGUCGAUCGGUAUCUCAGAUUCUUAAUCUUUAAGAAUUUCAGUUUCUAAGUUUUUUCUAGGUCACACCCAUUACUUUCCCUGGGCCAUUAGCUCAGGUGGUUAGAGCGCACCCCUGAUAAGGGUGAGGUCCCUGGUUCAAGUCCAGGAUGGCCCAUAUCUCUAUGUUGGGGGUAUAGCUCAGUUGGUAGAGCGCCUGCUUUGCAAGCAGGAUGUCAGCGGUUCGAGUCCGCUUACCUCCACUGAAUACCACCUUCUACAUAUUGUUAAAUAAGGGAAUUGUUUUGAGUUGAGUCCUAUUCACUCUGAAGGAAUCUAGCUUCCUAUUUUUUUUUAAAUAAAUAAGAUGCUGGACUCAUUGAAUUUUAUUCAUUGUUUUCAGAGAACCUUGACAACUGCAUAGAUUAUUUUUGAAGACAAUAAGCAUCUUUAAUGAUGCAGAUUUAUUAUUUGUGCUUAUGCAUUAAAUAACAAUUCUAUUAAGCUGAUGCUUCAAUAUUAUUGAAGUUAUUGGUCAAGCUACAAAGGGCUCACGGAGGAUA